GACGGGUGAGUAACACGUGGGAACGUGCCUUUUGGUUCGGAAUAGCUCCUGGAAACGGGUGGUAAUGCCGAAUGUGCCCUUCGGGGGAAAGAUUUAUCGCCAUUAGAGCGGCCCGCGUCUGAUUAGCUAGUUGGUGAGGUAAAGGCUCACCAAGGCUACGAUCAGUAGCUGGUCUGAGAGGAUGACCAGCCACAUUGGGACUGAGACACGGCCCAAACUCCUACGGGAGGCAGCAGUGGGGAAUCUUGCGCAAUGGGCGAAAGCCUGACGCAGCCAUGCCGCGUGAAUGAUGAAGGUCUUAGGAUUGUAAAAUUCUUUCAGUAGGGACGAUAAUGACGGUACCUACAGAAGAAGCCCCGGCUAACUUCGUGCCAGCAGCCGCGGUAAUACGAAGGGGGCUAGCGUUGCUCGGAAUUACUGGGCGUAAAGGGAGCGUAGGCGGACAUUUAAGUCAGGGGUGAAAUCCCAGAGCUCAACUCUGGAACUGCCUUUGAUACUGGGUGUCUUGAGUGUGAGAGAGGUAUGUGGAACUCCGAGUGUAGAGGUGAAAUUCGUAGAUAUUCGGAAGAACACCAGUGGCGAAGGCGACAUACUGGCUCAUUACUGACGCUGAGGCUCGAAAGCGUGGGGAGCAAACAGGAUUAGAUACCCUGGUAGUCCACGCCGUAAACGAUGAUUGCUAGUUGUCGGGAAGCUUGCUUUUCGGUGACGCAGCUAACGCAUUAAGCAAUCCGCCUGGGGAGUACGGUCGCAAGAUUAAAACUCAAAGGAAUUGACG
rnacentral:rRNA from 1 species